AUGAUCAUCCUUAUGAAAUCCAUGUUUAAAUGAAAAUACUUGAUAUUUCUUUUGUAUUUCAUAGGCUGAGAGACAAACCUCCUCUGGUCCAUCUUCUGCUCCUUGAGUUUGUCAGCCAGACUCUGUUGGUUGAUCUCAUCAUCCUGUGAAUUAUUACAAGAAAAGGACAUCAACUGUUUGUACAGGUUGCUGAUGUCCUCCUCGUAUUUGCUCCGCUCGUGGCAACAAUAUUAUUUGACUUUUCUUUCACAAAGCUGAACUGUACCUGUAGGUCUGUCUUGAUGAGCGAGGCUCCUGCUUGGACCAGAUAAUGACAGAUAGUUCUUUGACACAGGGACGCAGCUCGGUGAAGGACCGUCUCCCCCCUGGUCAACAGAAGAGAGAGAGAGAGAGACAACAUCACCCGAGGAACAGACAUCAACGGUGUCUGCUGCUUCUUUUGGUGUCUUGUGUUUAUGAUGGCACAUAUAUCAUCACAUAUAGACUGAACAGAGAUCAGAGCACAGAUACAGACACAGCAUCAUCAUCUACACUCUGUUAACAUUUAAAUAAAGUGUUUAGCAUUUUAAAAACCUCA